rnacentral:rRNA from 1 species
CCUACGGGAGGCUGCAGUGGGGAAUAUUGGACAAUGGGCGAAAGCCUGAUCCAGCCAUGCCGCGGGUGUGAAGAAGGCCUUCGGGUUGUAAAGCACUUUCAGUGGGGAAGAAAGCCGUGGGGCUAAUACCCUCGAGGAAGGACAUCACCCACAGAAGAAGCACCGGCUAACUCCGUGCCAGCAGCCGCGGUAAUACGGAGGGUGCGAGCGUUAAUCGGAAUUACUGGGCGUAAAGCGCGCGUAGGCGGUCUGAUAAGCCGGUUGUGAAAGCCCCGGGCUCAACCUGGGAACGGCAUCCGGAACUGUCGGGCUAGAGUGCAGGAGAGGAAGGUAGAAUUCCCGGUGUAGCGGGGAAAGGCGUAGAGAUCGGGAGGAAUACCAGUGGCGAAGGCGGCCUUCUGGACUGACACUGACGAUGAGGUGCGAAAGCGUGGGUAGCAAACAGGAUUAGAUCCCCUGUAGUC